rnacentral:miRNA from 1 species
GUUAUGAACUUCCUCAGGGACCGCAAUAAAAUAAUCACCAUGUAUAGAUACAAAGUAUAAAAUAAACAUAUCCUAAAAACAACUAUACAUGGUGAUUAUUUUAUUGCAGUCCCUGAGGAAGUUCAUAA